AGAGUUUGAUCAUGGCUCAGGACUAACGCUGGCGGCAUGCAUCAUACAUGCAAGUCGAACGGAAGUAGGGUAGCAAUACUCUGCUUUAGUGGCGGACGGGUGAGUAACACGUAGGUAACCUACCCUCGUGAUCGGGAUAACCUGCCGAAAGGCGGGCUAAUACCGAAUGUGACCACAGCCUCGCAUGGGGCAGGGGUAAAAGGGCUGGCUCGCAAGGCUACCGCACAAGGAUGGGCCUGCGCACUAUCAGCUAGUUGGUGGGGUAACGGCCUACCAAGGCUAUGACGGUUAGCCGGCUUGAGAGAGUGAACGGCCACACUGGAACUGAGACACGGUCCAGACUCCUACGGGAGGCAGCAGUAGGGAAUCUUCCGCAAUGGGCGAAAGCCUGACGGAGCAAUGCCGCGUGAGUGAUGAAGGCCUUCGGGUCGUAAAGCUCUGUUGAGGGGGAAGAAAGAUGCAUCCGAUAAUACCGGAUGCGUCCUGACGGUACUCCUCGAGGAAGCCCCGGCUAAUUACGUGCCAGCAGCCGCGGUAAUACGUAAGGGGCAAGCGUUGUCCGGAAUCACUGGGCGUAAAGCGCACGUAGGCGGCUUGGCAAGUCAGGGGUGCAAGCUCUAGGCUUAACCUAGAAAUUGCCUCUGAAACUACCUCGCUUGAGGGUCAGAGGGGAAACUGGAAUUCACGGUGUAGCGGUGAAAUGCGUAGAUAUCGUGGAGAACACCCGUGGCGAAGGCGGGUUUCUGGCUGACAACUGACGCUGAGGUGCGAAAGCUAGGGGAGCGAACGGGAUUAGAUACCCUAGUAGUCC
rnacentral:rRNA from 1 species